UCACUUUUAUUGAGCCUAAAGCGUUUGUAGCCGGAUCCGUAAAUCUCCAGGCAAAUUCCUUCGCUUAACGAAGGAUCUUCUGGAGAGACUGCGGAUCUAGGGACCGGGUGAGGUUGAAUGUACUUCUGGGGUAGGGGUAAAAUCCUGUAAUCCUGGAAGGACGACCGGUGGCGAAGGCGUUCAACUAGAACGGAUCCGACGGUGAGGAACGAGGGCUAGGGGAGCAAACCGGAUUAGAUACCCGGGUAGUCCUAGCUGUAAACACUGCCCACUUGAUGUUGCAUCUCCGUGUAGGGGGUGCAGUGUCGUAGCGAAGGUGUUAAGUGGGCCGCUUGGGGAGUAUGGUCGCAAGGCUGAAACUUAAAGGAAUUGGCGGGGGAGCACCACAACGGGAGGAGCGUGCGGUUUAAUUGGAUUCAACGCCGGAAAGCUCACCAGGAGCGACCUUUGAAUGAGAGUCAACUUGACGAGCUUACUCGAUAGAAGGAGAGGUGGUGCAUGGCCGUCGUCAGCUCGUACCGUAGGGCGUUCACUUAAGUGUGAUAACGAGCGAGACCCCCAUCUUUAAUUGCCAUCAUGUUCGAGAGGACGUGGGCACUUUAAAGGGACCGCCAGCGCAGAGCUGGAGGAAGGAGGGGUCGACGGCAGGUCAGUACGCCCCGAAUCUCCUGGGCAACACGCGCGCUACAAAGGACAGGACAAUGGGCUGCGACCUCGAAAGGGGAAGCCAAUCUCGAAACCUGUUCGUAGUUAGGAUUGAGGGCUGUAACUCGCCCUCAUGAAUCUGGAUUCCGUAGUAAUCGCGGGUCAACAUCCCGCGGUGAAUAUGUCCCUGCUCCU
rnacentral:rRNA from 1 species